UUUGCAGGAUAAGUGUGUAUCGGUUAAAUGCUUUUUGCUGUGCAUAUAUUACUUAAAUUGUUUCCUGCUAUAUUAAUUGUAAGAAGGUGGGCAGUUGGGUUGAGCUUGAUAAUCUCUUUUGCCAACAAUCAUUUUCCACCCAUUU
rnacentral:snoRNA from 1 species